GACGAACGCUGGCGGCGUGCUUAACACAUGCAAGUCGAACGGAAAUGCCCUGCUUUUGUGGGGUGCUCGAGUGGCGAACGGGUGAGUAACACGUGAGUAACCUGCCCUUGACUUUGGGAUAACUUCAGGAAACUGUGGCUAAUACCGGAUAGGAGCUCCUGCUGCAUGGUGGGGGUUGGAAAGUUUCGGCGGUUGGGGAUGGACUCGCGGCUUAUCAGCUUGUUGGUGGGGUAGUGGCUUACCAAGGCUUUGACGGGUAGCCGGCCUGAGAGGGUGACCGGCCACAGUGGGAUUGAUAUACGGCCCAGAAUCCUACGGGAGUGAGCAGUGGGGAAUAAUGCACAAUGGGCGGAAGGCUGAUGCAGCAACGCCGCGUGCGGGAUGAAGGCCUUCGGGAUGUAAACCGCUUUCGCCUGUGACGAAGCGUGAGUAACGGUAAUGGGUAAAGAAGGACCGGCUAGCUACGUG
rnacentral:rRNA from 1 species